rnacentral:rRNA from 1 species
UACGUAGGUGGCAAGCGUUGUCCGGAUUUAUUGGGUUUAAAGGGUGCGUAGGCGGUUCUAUAAGUCAGUGGUGAAUACGGCAGCUCAAACUGUCGAGGUGCCAUUGAUACUGCAGAACUUGGAGUACAGACGAGGUAGGCGGAAGUUGACGGUGUAGCGGUGAAAUGCUUAGAUAAUCGUCAAGAACACCGGUGGCGAAGGCGGCCUGCUGGGGCAGU